rnacentral:rRNA from 1 species
AGUGAACACUGGCGGUAGGCCUAACACAUGCAAGUCGAACGGCAGCACAGGAGAGCUUGCUCUCUGGGUGGCGAGUGGCGGACGGGUGAGGAAUACAUCGGAAUCUACUCUGUCGUGGGGGAUAACGUAGGGAAACUUACGCUAAUACCGCAUACGACCUACGGGUGAAAGUAGGGGACCUUCGGGCCUUGCGCGAUUGAAUGAGCCGAUGUCGGAUUAGCUAGUUGGCGGGGUAAAGGCCCACCAAGGCGACGAUCCGUAGCUGAUCUGAGAGGAUGAUCAGCCACACUGGAACUGAGACACGGUCCAGACUCCUACGGGAGGCAGCAGUGGGGAAUAUUGGACAAUGGGCGCAAGCCUGAUCCAGCCAUACCGCGUGGGUGAAGAGGGCCUUCGGGUUGUAAAGCCCUUUUGUUGGGAAAGAAAUCCAGCUGGCUAAUACCCGGUUGGGAUGACGGUACCCAAAGAAUAAGCACCGGCUAACUUCGUGCCAGCCGCCGCAGUAA